rnacentral:tRNA from 1 species
GCACCUGUAGCUCAGUGGAUAGAGCGCCGGUCUGCGAAGCCGGAGGUCGCAGGUUCAAUUCCUGCCAGGUGCA